rnacentral:sRNA from 3 species
AGAUGCCAUGCGUACGCGCCGGUUCCUGGGCGCCGUCGACACCCGCCUGCCGACUGCUCGCUGCGGUUUUAGCC